rnacentral:rRNA from 1 species
GACGAACGCUGGCGGCGUGCUUAACACAUGCAAGUCGAACGGAAAGGCCCUGCUUGCAGGGUACUCGAGUGGCGAACGGGUGAGUAACACGUGGGUGAUCUGCCCUGCACUUCGGGAUAAGCCUGGGAAACUGGGUCUAAUACCGGAUAGGAGCCAUUUUUAGUGUGAUGGUUGGAAAGUUUUUUCGGUGUAGGAUGAGCUCGCGGCCUAUCAGCUUGUUGGUGGGGUAAUGGCCUACCAAGGCGGCGACGGGUAGCCGGCCUGAGAGGGUGGACGGCCACAUUGGGACUGAGAUACGGCCCAGACUCCUACGGGAGGCAGCAGUGGGGAAUAUUGCACAAUGGGCGCAAGCCUGAUGCAGCGACGCCGCGUGGGGGAUGACGGCCUUCGGGUUGUAAACUCCUUUCGCUAGGGACGAAGCUUUUGUGACGGUACCUAGAUAAGAAGCACCGGCUAACUACGCG